rnacentral:rRNA from 1 species
UACGUAGGGGGCAAGCGUUGUCCGGAUUUAUUGGGCGUAAAGAGCGUGUAGGCGGCCAAGCAGGUCCGCUGUGAAAACUCGAGGCUCAACCUCGAGACGUCGGUGGAAACCGUUUGGCUAGAGUCCGGAAGAGGAGAGUGGAAUUCCCGGUGUAGCGGUGAAAUGCGCAGAUAUCGGGAAGAACACCCGUGGCGAAGGCGACUUACUGGACACAUAUUGACGCUGAGGUGCGAAAGCGUGGGGAGCAAACAGG